AGAGUGGCUGAUCAACUACGCUUCGUGAUACCCGUGACUCCCAGGUGACGAAAUUGAUCCACAGUUUUGCCGAUUCCCAGUUACACAGCACAGUUCAAGCGGUCAGACAGACAUGAGGAUGUGUAGGCCAUACGUGAAUCUUAGCAUUAACAGAUUAUUCUGUACAUGCCAUGAGUUUGCCCUGUAAGGUAGAUAUAAGAUAAGCCAAGGCAGCAUAAAACGUAGCCUGUGAUUAUACGACUUUCUGGCUAGGAGCAAGGCAAGGAUCGAUAGUUUGGUAUUGAGCUGUUGGCCUUUAGGGACUACUGAAUGCCCUAUUGGGCUGUCUAUUAUCCUUGGGUAGGCUUGGUUGUC
rnacentral:lncRNA from 1 species